rnacentral:rRNA from 1 species
AACGAACGCUGGCGGCAUGCCUAACACAUGCAAGUCGAACGAGACCUUCGGGUCUAGUGGCGCACGGGUGCGUAACGCGUGGGAACCUGCCCUUAGGUUCGGAAUAACUCCCCGAAAGGGGUGCUAAUACCGGAUAAUGUCUUCGGACCAAAGAUUUAUCGCCUUUGGAUGGGCCCGCGUUGGAUUAGCUAGUUGGUAGGGUAAAAGCCUACCAAGGCGACGAUGCAUAGCUGGUCUGAGAGGAUGAUCAGCCACACUGGGACUGAGACACGGCCCAGACUCCUACGGGAGGCAGCAGUGGGGAAUAUUGGAGGAUGGGCGAAAGCCUGAUCCGGCAAUGCCGCGUGAGUGAUGAAGGCCUUAGGGUUGUAAAGCUCUUUUACCCGGGAUGAUAAUGACAGUACCGGGAGAAUAAGCUCCGGCUAACUCCGUG